AGAUAACGGAGAGAUUAGUGGUUGAAUUCUAAGGCUAUACUAUCACACAAUGGAAAGCACUUGUGCGAUAAGAGUGAGCGGAUGCGCACGUUCGCGCCAUCCAACAAACGAACAGUAAAGUCAUGCAUGUCACAUUUACCUUUGCAAUUGGGAUUAACACAACAAUUGGCCGUCUGCAGAUACUCAAUCAGAGCCCGGGGCAAGUCACCCGGAGCGUAUGGCACUGAGGCGGUCUUCACCGAGCGGGCUGCCAGCUCCAACAGUGUGGGUGGAUUAAGGGUCAUAUCCUUGACGAAGCGCACAACCAGCGGGUUGUCACGUAGACUGAGCUGUAAGGAGGUCGAGAAGGUGAAUAGUGGCAUUAGUGGUGAAACAAUAAUCACUGCUGUAAUCUAGCACUUCCCGUCACAAUAAUCGUUAUCGUCUGGCUGUAAGUAGAUAUUUCGACAUCUACAGGAUGUAAUACCGUUCGUGGUGCGACUUUUCAAGUACAAAAUGGCAUUUUCAGUCGUUCGUUAUGUUUAUCUUUAUGAUCAUUUUAAAUAAAAUCACAUUUAUGAUGGUUAACGUUUAGCAAGUCUCAAAUCGAAUCUAGAAUCACUUUUUUUUUUUUUUUCGAUUAUCCAUUGAAAAUCGUUCAAUUGCACGCCGUCAAAAUAACAAUUGCAGGGUUCAUUUUAAUUUGGACGGUUUCAGUUGAAUUUAUUCACUUUUUUUACUAGCAGAAAAGUUUUUUUUCCUUAUUAUUUUACUUUUCCGAUUUAUACUCCAAAUAGCGACUUCGCUCUAGAGCUUCGGUUAAUGAUGACCGCUGAGCUUGUAUCAAUCAUUUCUGCGUUAACCUGACGACUGUUGGUGAUGCGUUACAACAACAGACAGUUUGUUGAGUUUUUAAAUGUAAUAAUAAAAAAAAAGUAAAUUGCCAGUUUGCGGUUAGUGAUCAUUUCGCUUAUCCAUGAUUUUGUUAUUGACACAUUUUAAUUUAACUACGUAGUAGUCCUUUGUAACGAUUCUUCUCCAAUCAAAAAACUAAGAUCAUUCAGAAAAUGCUUUCUAGAAUACAAUAAUCAAUACUGACGAUUACUAAUUACAACUAUUUUGUAAGCAUCCCAUUAAAAGAGACUCAUAACCUUCCUGGUACGACAUUCGGUGAUUUCAGGCUUGCCUUAAACCUUCGUUGUUUUUCAGUGAUAAUAAUUUGUUCCGAGAAGAAAAAGUAUUUAUUCAGGGAUAGUACGUACCUAAUAUUUACCAUCGUUCUCAACUGUGAGAAGUGAUAGCAAGAGAAUUUAAAUAUUCCUGGAAAACCCUUACACAAUACUAUACUGUUUAUAAGACCUACAUUGUGAGUUAGCAUCGUAUGUCUGCGUGUAACGUAUCUAGGAAAUAUGAAACCACAACAGUCUGCGUUCGGCCAGAUAAGACGGAAUACUCGCAGCAGACUGCAAAUCGAGCACGGCGGAGAAUUGCACAAUUGUAUCAAAAAGGUCGUAGUAGGGGACCCUGCUUGCAGCAAGGUACGAUUACAACAAAGUAGAAAAAAACUCACCUCGGUAAGAUUUUUCAGCGUGAUGAUCUCCCGUGGCAGAUGCUUGAGACGGUUCUUGUGCAGCAGCAGCGACUUGAGGUGAACCAAACGGGCGAUCGAGCUUGGUAGUGCCUCGAUCAGGUUAUCACAGAGUACGAGAGCGUGAAGAUUAUUCAGCAGCCCGACGGUUUCCGGAAUCUCAGCGAUCUGAUUCCCGCCAAGCGAGAGAAGUUGCAGGCUGAAAGGAGAAAGCAGAUUUUGGUGACACGUUGUAUCAAUUUCGAUUACUGUACAAGUUAACAGCUUUUGAGAUAGUUCAGUUGCUCUCUGAUAAAAAGGUCCCGAUUAUUUUUAUAUUAAAUUUA